rnacentral:tRNA from 1 species
GAGGCUAUAGCUCUGUGGUAGAGCAGAUGCUUAGCAUGCACAAGGUUCUGGGUUCAAUCCCCAGUAUUUCA